CUGCAGCUUUAAUUAGACAUUCCUUGAUGAAAUCACCUUCGGUGAAAGGUUUCGAGUGUUCUGACAAGACGUAGCUUGCAUGCACUGCCACUUAAUUUUCUUGUGAUACUUUAGUAAACAUGAACUGUUGUUUUUUCAGCCCCAACUUGAGCUCUUUCAAUUUCUCUUGUCUCAUUAAUCCUUCGUAAUUAUCAUAUUUUGAUUUAUG